AACGUAGGACGCGAGCGUUAUCCGGAGUUACUGGGCGUAAAGGGCGCGUAGGCGGUCAGCACAAGUCAGUUGUGAAAUCUCCGAGCUUAACUCGGAAAGGUCAACUGAUACUGUGCGACUAGAGUGCAGAAGGGGCAACUGGAAUUCUUGGUGUAGCGGUGAAAUGCGUAGAUAUCAAGAGGAACACCUGCGGCGAAGGCGGGUUGCUGGGCUGACACUGACGCUGAAGCGCGAAAGCCAGGGGAGCGAACGGG
rnacentral:rRNA from 1 species